ensembl:misc_RNA Metazoa_SRP Metazoan signal recognition particle RNA
GCUCGGCACGAUGGUGCAUGCCUGUAGUCCCAGCUACUCAGGAGGCUGAGGUGGGAGGACUGCUUGAGUCCAGGAGUUCUGGGCUAUAGUGUGCUAUGCCCAUCAGGUGUCCACACUAAGUUUGGCAUCAAUACAGAGACCUCCCUGGAGCAGGGACCACGAGGUUGCCUAAGGAAGGGUGAAUCAGCCCAGGUUGGAAAUGGAGCAGGUCAAAACUCCUGUGCUGAUCAGUAGUGGAAUCGCGCCUGUGAAUAGCCACUGCACUCCAGCCUGGGCAACACAGUAAGACCCCGUCUCCU